AGGGCGCAGAGAUAGGUGGCUCAUCUUCUUUCUUAGUCUUCUUUCCCCAUCUUCUUCUUCUUCAUUUCUACUCUCCCCCCGUAGAUCUGUCCUGCUAACACUUCUACCAGACGUUCGUGCUACCAUUUCUAGGAUGUCCACGGCGACAAUCGUUCACGAGGACGACACCGUUUGCCAUUGGCUGUGGAGGUUGCCCAUCUAAGUCGAACCACGAAAAAACCGCAGUCGACCCCAAUGCAGUUCAUGUGGAGUGCCCAAUUUGCAAUGAGUGCAGAGUCUUGUGCAACAAAGACAACGUAUCAAAGAACCACGGCUUCUAUUUUUCUCGACAUGAUUGCACAGAAAGAACGAAAUAUUUGAUCCUUAAGGAGCACCCCUAGCUCAUCCUACUAAAGCAUUUUCAGGAGCUGUCCAAGAAGAAUCCACCUACUAAGGAGAGCGAGGGCCAGG